GGACGGAAACGAUUCGUUUCCUCUAUGUAUUAAUCGGAUUUUUGAACUUGGAGUAUGGUGCUGGAGCUUGCUCCACCCUGCUCACGGGUUGUCCUGGUAUUGCAGUACCUCCAGGUUCGGCUCACGUUUC
rnacentral:snRNA from 1 species